UGCCACUGAUGACAAUUUAUUUGCUACUCUUGACCAUAAGAUGAUGAGAGUUAAUACCACCAUUAUCAUAACUGAGGCA
rfam:Erinaceus europaeus unplaced genomic scaffold scaffold00554, whole genome shotgun sequence